rnacentral:tRNA from 1 species
AGGACUUUAAGUUAAGUUUAAACUAAUAACCUUCAAAGUUUUAAAUAUUUUUUAAGUCUUA